GAAAACAGAACUCGGAAGGUUGAGUGUUUCACUUUUAAUGAGAAAGUCUUGGUUCAAUUCCAUGUGUUUUCA
rnacentral:tRNA from 1 species